rnacentral:lncRNA from 1 species
AGAAAGUGCUGAGAUUUUUAGAAGUGUUCAAGAUUUUCAAGUUUAUACUCUCUCUCUUUAAUACUUCAUCUCCAAAACCUUCUCUUUCUUAAAUAUAUAUUCAUAUAUACAAGGUUUUGAUUCUCAAGCUCUAACCCACCAAGUUAGCUCACCCACAACCACUUCCAAGCCUCCGUAGGGGCUGCCCAAGUUCGUCCAAGUGCCCAAAAUCCGGCCGAACCUCCGGCGAAUUUUUCCGGCGAACUUUUCCGGUCAUCUCCCGUAAGUGGUUUCUUCUUAGCUUCUUAUUUGUGUCUUAACCGACCAUUUUGUUGCAGG